CCUUUGGAGAAGCAAUCAAACUAGAGUAGAUACUUUAAAAGUAACAAAAUAGGUUUCGAUGAAUUAGGAA
rnacentral:sRNA from 12 species